rnacentral:misc_RNA from 1 species
UCCGGUUUGUCACCGGCAGUCUCCUUAGAGUUCCCGACAUGACUCGCUGGCAACUAAGGACAAGGGUUGCGCUCGUUACGGGACUUAACCCAACAUCUCACGACACGAGCUGACGACAGCCAUGCAGCACCUGUCUCUGCGUUCCCGAAGGCACCAAUCCAUCUCUGGAAAGUUCCGAGGAUGUCAAGCCCUGGUAAGGUUCUUCGCGUUGCUUCGAAUUAAACCUCAUGCUCCACCGCUUGUGCGGGCCCCCGUCAAUUCAUUUGAGUUUUAAUCUUGCGACCGUACUCCCCAGGCGGGGUGCUUAAAGCGUUAGCUGCGCCACCGAUGAGCAAGCUCACCGACGGCUAGCAUUCAUCGUUUACGGCGUGGACUAC